rnacentral:rRNA from 1 species
CCUACGGGUGGCAGCAGUGAGGAAUAUUGGUCAAUGGACGCAAGUCUGAACCAGCCAUGCCGCGUGCAGGAAGACGGCUCUAUGAGUUGUAAACUGCUUUUGUACGAGGGUUAACGCAGAUACGCGUAUCUGUCUGAAAGUAUCGCUCGAAUAAGGAUCGGCUAACUCCGUGCCAGCAGCCGCGGUAAUACGGAGGAUUCAAGCGUUAUCCGGAGUUAUUGGGUUUAACGGGUGCGUAGGCGGUCGGAUAAGUUAGAGGUGAAAUCCCGAGGCUCAACUUCGGAAUUGCCUCUGAUACUGUUAGGCUAGAGAGUAGUUGCGGUAGGCGGAAUGUAUGGUGUAGCGGUGAAAUGCUUAGAGAUCAUACAGAACACCGAUUGCGAAGGCAGCUUACCAAGCUACUUCUGACGUUGAGGCACGAAAGCGUGGGGAGCAAACAGGAUUAGAUACCCUAGUAGUC